CGCGAAGAACCUUGCCUGGUCUUGACAUCCACGGAAGUUUUCAGAGAUGAGAAUGUGCCUUCGGGAACCGUGAGACAGGUGCUGCAUGGCUGUCGUCAGCUCGUGUUGUGAAAUGUUGGGUUAAGUCCCGCAACGAGCGCAACCCUUAUCCUUUGUUGCCAGCGGUCCGGCCGGGAGCUCAAAGGAGACUGCCAGUGAUAAACUGGAGGAAGGUGGGGAUGACGUCAAGUCAUCAUGGCCCUUACGACCAGGGCUACACACGUGCUACAAUGGCGCAUACAAAGAGAAGCGACCUCGCGAGAGCAAGCGGACCUCAUAAAGUGCGUCGUAGUCCGGAUUGGAGUCUGCAACUCGACUCCAUGAAGUCGGAAUCGCUAGUAAUCGUGGAUCAGAAUGCCAUGGUGAAUACGUUCCCGGGUCUUGUACACACC
rnacentral:rRNA from 1 species